rnacentral:rRNA from 1 species
UAGGGAAUCUUCCGCAAUGGACGCAAGUCUGACGGAGCAACGCCGCGUGAGUGAAGAAGGAUUUCGGUUCGUAAAACUCUGUUGUUAGAGAAGAACAGCGCAUAGAGUAACUGUUAUGCGUGUGACGGUAUCUAACCAGAAAGCCACGGCUAACUACGUGCCAGCAGCCGCGGUAAUACGUAGGUGGCAAGCGUUGUCCGGAUUUAUUGGGCGUAAAGCGAGCGCAGGCGGUCAAUUAAGUCUGAUGUGAAAGCCCCCGGCUCAACCGGGGAGGGUCAUUGGAAACUGGUUGACUUGAGUGCAGAAGAGGAAGGUGGAGUUCCAUGUGUAGCGGUGAGAUGCGUAGAUAUAUGGAGGAACACCGGUGGCGAAGGCGACUCUCUGGUCUGUAACUGACGCUGAGGCUCGAAAGCGUGGGGAGCGAACAGG